rnacentral:lncRNA from 1 species
UGCAGCCUCAAACUCUUGAGGUCAUGUGAUCCCUCCUGCCUCAGCCUCCCAAGUAGCUGGGACUACAGGUGCAUACCACCACACCUGGCUAAUUUUUAUUUUUUUCUUUGUACAGACAAAAAAGAAGAAAAUUGGGUCUUGUUAUGUUGCCCAGGCUGGUCUCCAACUCCUGGCCUCAAGUGAUCCUCCCAGCUUGUCCUUCCAAAGUGUUGGGAUUAUAGGUGUGAGCCACUGUGCCUGGCCAUGUCUGAAUGUUGAAUGUUGACAGCUUCAGUGAAUUGACCCCUCUUUCACCUAUGGGACUUAUGAAGAGAGAAUCUUUCUGGCAUUGCAUAAUCCUUCCCAAGAGUACUUUAGCUGUGGUAACCCUUCUUGUUAUAAAACAUGCCAGCAGAUCCUGGCACCCAAGUGACAACCUGCAUUGAAAAGGCGGAACUUGGCUCUCCUGCCCUGCCAGCUGUAAGAGCUUGAAAGCAAAGCUAUGGGGGGAAUGUCUUUCAUUUCCCCCUGGAAGCUGGGAGGACGUUCAGCUUAGCAUUGCCAACUGUGUAAUGUGGACUUGCCUCUAAAAGAAGCCUUUUUCCUUGGAUGUCUUUCAGGCCGCAGUAUUCCCUUUGGCACCCCCACCCACCUGGAACAAAGCCUGAUGUAAAGUCUGGGUGCGACUCAGACCGGCCUGGGAAAGAAUUUAUUUAAUAAAUGGUGGAAAGUGGCUUCCUUGACGUGUCUUCGAUGGCUUUUUUAUAAAGCAUUUGGUUUGUCUACUCGUCUGUUUUUGCGCCAUCUCUUUCCACAAA